rnacentral:tRNA from 1 species
GAAGGUAUAGCUCAGUGGUGGAAUGCCUGCUUAGCCUGUACAGGGUCCUGGGUUCAAUCCCCAGUACCUCCA